GUCCGCCGGCACUGGCACCUACGCCUGGCUGUGCAGCUGCAGGCCGCCCGCGGCUCUGGGCUCGGUUUGCUAAUGCAAUGCGGGUACCUUUGGAAUUCAAGACAUUGAUCUAAGCAGAAAACAUAAAGAAACAUAAUGAAACAAGGUCACCAGCCAAUAAACCAGAGGCAAACGGACACAAUUACCAGCCUGCCGGACUUCAAUUACCCAACAGCCUGACGCCAGCUAUGACUGUUCUGAAAUAAUGCAAAUGAAAGGAAGAAUGCAAGACUUUCACUACUUUGAGCCUUAUCUUAUACCCCGGACUGCGGGCCCCACAUAUAAAAUCUUACCUGAUUCCCAAGUCGGGGGGGACACAGUUCUUGAGACACUAGCUUGCUGUGUCUUCCCUUCUGCCUGGCAGAAAAAUAA